AAUGGACGUUGGCGGCGUGGAUUAGGCAUGCAAGUCGAGCGAGAACCGUAGCAAUACGGGGACAGCGGCGAAAGGGACAGUAAUGUGUAGGUACCUACCCCCGGGUUCGGGAUAGCUGCGGGAAACUGCAGGUAAUACCGAAUAAUGUCUUCGGACCAAAGGUGUGAUUCCACCUGGGGAGGGGCCUGCAUCCUAUUAGCUUGUUGGUGGGGUAACGGCUUACCAAGGCGACGAUGGGUAGCGGGUGUGAGAGCAUGACCCGCGUCAUUGGGACUGAGACACUGCCCAGACACCGACGGGUGGCUGCAGUCGUGAAUCUUCGGCAAUGGGCGCAAGCCUGACCGAGCGACGCCGCGUGCGGGAUGAAGGCCUUCGGGUUGUAAACCGCUGUCGUAGAGGAGGAAAUGCAGGGGGGUUCUCCCCUCUGUUUGACCUAUUCUAGGAGGAAGUACGGGCUAAGUUCGUGCCAGCCGCCGCAGUAA
rnacentral:rRNA from 1 species